rnacentral:rRNA from 1 species
AGCAGCCGCGGUAAUUCCAGCUCCAAUAGCGUAUAUUAAAGUUGUUGCAGUUAAAAGCUCGUAGUUGAAUUUCGGGAUCAAUGGAUUGGUCAUGCCGAUGGUGUGUACUGGUCAUAUUGGUUCUCACCUUCUAAGGAACCAUAAUGUCAUUUAUUUGAUGUUGUGGGGAAUUAGGACUGUUACCUUGAAAAAUUAGAGUGUUUAAAGCAGGCUAACGCUUGAAUACAUUAGCAUGGAAUAAUGAAAUAGGACAUCGCAUUCUAUUUUGUUGGUUUCUAGGAUCGAUGUAAUGAUUAAUAGGGAUAGUUGGGGGCAUUAGUAUUCAAUUGUCAGAGGUGAAAUUCUUGGAUUUAUUGAAGACUAACUACUGCGAAAGCAUUUGCCAAGGAUGUUUUCAUUAAUCAAGAACGAAAGUUAGGGAUCGAAGACGAUCAGAUAC